rnacentral:rRNA from 1 species
CAUGAGUGUAUAUUAGAAUUGUUGUAGUUAAAAAGCUCGUAGUCGGAAAUUAUUUUUUGAGUCAUUUUAAAAUUCUUCAAUUUUGUUCAGCCUAUGGUUGAGAAAAUUGAAAUUUAAAAUCCAAAAAAUAUUAAAGGAAGAUUAGAAGUGUUUUGGCAUUUAUGUUGAGCACUUUUAUUCAUCCAUUUUACUUUGAAAAAAUUAGAGUGUUCAAAGCAAGUUUUUUUCAGCCAGCCUUGUGUUGCGCGAAAAUACCAAACAACUUUUGAAUAUUUCAGCAUGGGAUAAUAAAAUAAGACUUUAUUUAUUUAAUUUUAUUGGUUUUAUAAAUAUCAACUUUAUAAUAAGGUAAUGAUUAAUAUAAUCAAUUUGGGAUAUUUGUAUUUCAUAGCUAGAGGUGAAAUUCUUGGAUUUAUGAAAGACAAACAUAAGCGAAAGCAUUUAUCAGGGAUGUUUUAAUUGA